UAGCUGGCCCUUAGUGAGUUCUAUCGGGUAAAGCCAACGAUUAGAGGCAUCAGGGGCGCAACACCCUCGACCUGUUCUCAAACUUUAAAUAGGUAGGACGGUGCGGCUGCUUCAUUGAGCCGGGCCACGGAAUCGAGAGCUCCAAGUGGGCCAUUUUUGGUAAGUAGAACUGGCGAUGCGGGAUGAACCGGAAGCCGGGUUACGGUGCCCAACUGCGCGUUAACCUAGAACCCACAAAGGGUGUUGGUCGAUUAAGACAGCAGGAUGGUGGUUAUGGAAGUCGAAAUUCACUAAGGAGUGUGUAACAACUCACCUUCCGAAUCAACUAGCCCCGAAAAUGGAUGGCACUUAAGCGCGCGACCUAUACCCGGCCGUCGGGGCAAGAUCCAGGCCCCGAUGAGUA
rnacentral:ncRNA from 1 species